rnacentral:rRNA from 1 species
UACGGGGGGUGCGAGCGUUGUCCGGAAUCACUGGGCGUAAAGGGCGCGUAGGUGGUUUGAUAAGGGUGUGGUGAAAGUCCGGGGCUCAACCCCGGAUCUGCCGUGCCGACUGUCAAACUCGAGGACUGUAGAGGCAGACGGAAUUCCGGGUGUAGCGGUGGAAUGCGUAGAGAUCGGGAAGAAUACCCGUGGCGAAGGCGGCCAGCUGGGCCAGGUCCGACACUGAGGCGCGAAAGCGUGGGGAGCAAACAGG